rnacentral:rRNA from 1 species
UGGGGAAUCUUGGACAAUGGGCGCAAGCCUGAUCCAGCCAUGCCGCGUGGAUGAUGAAGGCCCUAGGGUUGUAAAAUCCUUUCGUUGGGGACGAUAAUGACGGUACCCAAAGAAGAAGCUCCGGCUAACUUCGUGCCAGCAGCCGCGGUAAUACGAAGGGGGCUAGCGUUGUUCGGAUUUACUGGGCGUAAAGCGCGUGUAGGCGGGUCGUUAAGUUGGGGGUGAAAUCCCGAGGCUCAACCUCGGAACUGCCUUCAAAACUGGCGACCUGGACUCAAGUAGAGGCAAGUGGAAUUGCGAGUGUAGAGGUGAAAUUCGCAGAUAUUAGGAAGAACACCGGUGGCGAAGGCGGCCCACUGGUCCGGUACUGACGCUGAGGUGCGAAAGCGUGGGGAGCAAACAGGAUUAGAUACCCAAGUAGUCCCUGAGCGGGCUGGCAAGGCGCAU